rnacentral:rRNA from 1 species
GACGAACGCUGGCGGCGUGCCUAAUACAUGCAAGUCGAGCGCAGGAAGCUGACGGACCUCUUCGGAGGGAAGGCAGUGGAAUGAGCGGCGGACGGGUGAGUAACACGUAAGGAACCUGCCUCAAGGAUUGGGAUAACUCCGAGAAAUCGGAGCUAAUACCGGAUAGUUCAACGGACCGCAUGGUCCGGUGAUGAAAGGCGCUUCGGCGUCACCUUGAGAUGGCCUUGCGGUGCAUUAGCUAGUUGGUGGGGUAACGGCUCACCAAGGCGACGAUGCAUAGCCGACCUGAGAGGGUGAUCGGCCACACUGGGACUGAGACACGGCCCAGACUCCUACGGGAGGCAGCAGUAGGGAAUAUUCCACAAUGGACGAAAGUCUGAUGGAGCAACGCCGCGUGAGUGAUGAAGGUUUUCGGAUCGUAAAACUCUGUUGUAAGGGAAGAACACGUACGAGAGGGAAUGCUCGUACCUUGACGGUACCUUACGAGAAAGCCACGGCUAACUACGUG